rnacentral:lncRNA from 1 species
UCCAACCAAAAACCAAAUAGUCACAAAAAAUAUGGGGCACAGAGAAGAGAAUGUCAGCCUAAUCCCUAACAUGGGUACCUUCUGGCUAUCACCCCAAAACCUAGCCUUCCCCAGACUCAACUGUUGAUGCCUCCUCUGCUCCAGAUGAAACUGGUGUGCUUGGAAACAUAGGGAGACAACCCAUAUACUCGGGUCUUCUGUUGGAAGAGCUUUCAGCCCAACCCAUUUACUCCUGCAUCUUCAGGAUGCCCCCAUUUCCAUGAAUGCACAGGAAAGCCAACACUCCACCCACAUCAUGGGCAUCAGAGGUCAUCAUGCCCACAUUCUAACCUGGUACAUUUCCCAAUAUGGUGAAACUGCUGGACUGACUGUAUUUUCACUCCCCCACCUCCUGUUUGCUCUGAUUUCAGAUCCUAAACAUCACUGUGAAAGCCCCAGCCUGCUGCUGAGCCAGCUGCUGCCCCACAUGGAGAAGAUGGGUUCCCAUAUUGACAUUCUGGAGCAGUCACUGAAUUCAGCAAGCAUGUACUGAGCAGCUAGUAUAGACUGGGCUGCUUCUCUGGACUUGUGUGAUCAUCUGUGAAACACAACCAGGACUUCUAACUAAUGAUGACUUCUGAGGCCCCUUCCAGCUCUAACACAGGCAUGGUGUGAUAUUAGAUUGAAUCUCAGUGGUCCUGAGUCACUGAGAACAGUGUGGAAUUGACAGGAAGAGCCAGCCCUAGGCCCAUCCCACAGGUAAUACAUCUACCAUGGGCUGUGGGGAGAGCAAGGAAGCAGACUUCCUAAUUUGGGAAAUGACUGGCAGGGGCUGGGAAAAGGUCGAGGAGGACAGGGCCAGUAUAAGAGGAAGUGGGAGGGACAAAAAAUAUCAUUUUUAUUGAUAGAAAAUGGCCAAGUACAGUAAUUUAUGUGGUUAAACACAAUACCAUGGUUUUCAAAUUGUUUUUAAUGGCAGAAACCUUUUGUCAAAGAAUAACCUCCAUAGGAGUCCAAUGCAUAAAACAGACAAAAGCAGAAAUGCCCAGCUUAAAAUUGGAUUAGGGGCCUGAUGCUCAACAAUUUGGUCCCUGUUCCUGGUACUGGGCACCUCUUGCAGAAUCGCUUCACAAAACUGGUUGCAAACUAUGAAUGUAAAGAAGACA